UCCUCUGCCUUUCCUAAAACCAGUUUGAACAUCAGGAAGUUCACGGUUCACCUGUUGCUGAAGCCUUUUUUUUUCUUUCAGGCACUCUUCUAAGUGUGUGACUUUUUUCCUCUCAACCACAUGGGAAGUGGAUAUUACUAAACAGAUGGCAACAUUGAGACAAAAUUAGGUUGCAAAAUUACACUGCUGAUCAUUGAAAGCCAGAAAUUAAACUUACAAUUUGACCUUGAAGCAUUGUCUUGCAACCACUACAUUCUACCUCUUUACUUAAACAAUGUUCACUUAAGAUUUCCAAAGAACAAUUGACAGAGUACCAAGUUAAAAAGGCCACUGUUUUAAAUCCAGAUAUAAAAUCUAGCAUAGGUUCCACAUUUCCAGUACUAUCAUAUAUUUAUAAUAUAAAAAUUAUUGAAAAGAACUCUGUUUUAGUUCUGGAUACUAAAAUUCUAUUUAUACAAUAUCUAAGAGUAAUCAUUAAUGAUCUUAUUGUGUAUCUUUUCUUGAUUCCAAAUGGCAUAUGGAUUUCUAGAGAAAUACAGAAAUAUCUUUCGCAUUUCUCAGUAACUUUCCUUCUGGAAGGUUGACUGUUUGUUAUAUAAUUAAGCAACACUUUCUUAGAAGACUAAUCAGUCAGAUGUUCCUGGGAGAAAUUUGACAAACCAGUUUGAAACUUCAAAUUCUGAAUUUUUCACUGUCUCAGUCAGUCCUCCAAAGAGGUUUGAAUCUGGACUAGAAUAUUUAGCAACAAUGUACAUGAUCUUUCAGAGGAUAGUGUGUCUCUUAACUCAUAGUUUUGUUUUUCAAAAAUCUGUUUAUUACUAAUGUUUUUUUGUGUGCUAAUAAGUUUAAAUCCAUUUUUUUUUCAUUAUUGAAAUUUGAAAGUCAAGAAAGCUUAGUUCUCCCUUACCCAAUCUAUUUCCAGUUUCAUUUCUUUAGGGAUUUUGUUGGAUUUUGAAAACAAGUUGUGAUAUCACUAGAGUGUCUAUGCCCUUGAGCUCUUAAAUUAGUCCAAUCUAUAUGUAUUGUUUUGUUAUAAUUAUUAAGAGUAGACCCUUUUACUAUCAUAAAUGAUCAAUGUUAAAUGACCAACUUUAUGGUCACCCUAUGUAUGACUCUGUUACAUCAGAAAAUUAAUAUUGUUCUUUAUUUACAAGGCAAAGUUCCAUUUGACUACAAAUGGUCUAAAUAUGUGUCUCAAAUUUAAGCCUUGUUUAGUAGUUGGAAGUGAAGAAUUUUAAGUGAUAAAGCAAAUUGAAAAUAUCAAUAUAAAUCAAAUAAAUGUAGGCUAACAUUUUGCAUGAUUUGGCAUUAUAUAAAUCUACAAUCCCUUUCACAGAUCACAAACUUGUUGUGGUGAAAAGCC
rnacentral:lncRNA from 1 species